UGGGGAAUUUUGGACAAUGGGCGAAAGCCUGAUCCAGCAAUGCCGCGUGUGUGAAGAAGGCCUUCGGGUUGUAAAGCACUUUUGUCCGGAAAGAAAUCCUUGGCUCUAAUACAGUCGGGGGAUGACGGUACCGGAAGAAUAAGCACCGGCUAACUACGUGCCAGCAGCCGCGGUAAUACGUAGGGUGCAAGCGUUAAUCGGAAUUACUGGGCGUAAAGCGUGCGCAGGCGGUUUGCUAAGACCGAUGUGAAAUCCCCGGGCUCAACCUGGGAACUGCAUUGGUGACUGGCAGGCUAGAGUAUGGCAGAGGGGGGUAGAAUUCCACGUGUAGCAGUGAAAUGCGUAGAGAUGUGGAGGAAUACCGAUGGCGAAGGCAGCCCCCUGGGCCAAUACUGACGCUCAUGCACGAAAGCGUGGGGAGCAAACAGGAUUAGAUACCCUGGUAGUCCACGCCCUAAACGAUAUCAACUAGUUGUUGGGGAUUCAUUUCCUUAGUAACGUAGCUAACGCGUGAAGUUGACCGCCUGGGGAGUAC
rnacentral:rRNA from 1 species